rnacentral:pre_miRNA from 1 species
ACAACAUUCGGACCCUCGGUCCACCGAGCAAUUUCCCCCGCUCGGUGGAAGAUCUUCCCACUAUCAU